UACGAAGGGUGCAAGCGUUACUCGGAAUUACUGGGCGUAAAGCGUGCGUAGGUGGUGAGUUAAGUCUGUCGUGAAAGCCCCGGGCUCAACCUGGGAAUGGCGAUGGAUACUGGCUCGCUAGAGUGCGGUAGAGGAGAGUGGAAUUCCCGGUGUAGCAGUGAAAUGCGUAGAAAUCGGGAGGAACAUCAGUUGCGAAGGCGGCUCUCUGGACCAGCACUGACACUGAGGCACGAAAGCGUGGGGAGCAAACAGG
rnacentral:rRNA from 1 species